AAUUUUGGACAAUGGGGGAAACCCUGAUCCAGCCAUGCCGCGAGUAUGAAGAAGGACUUCGGGUUGUAAAGUACUUCUGGCAGAGAAGUAAAGGCAUCUCCUAAUACGAGAUACUGCUGACGGUAGCUGAAGAAUAAGCAUCGGCUAACUACGUGCCAGCAGCCGCGGUAAUACGUAGGGUGCAAGCGUUAAUCGGAAUUACUGGGCGUAAAGCGUGUGUAGGCGGUUCGGAAAGAAAGAUGUGAAAUCCCAGGGCUCAACCUUGGAACUGCAUUUUUAACUGCCGAGCUAGAGUAUGUCAGAGGGGGGUAGAAUUCCACGUGUAGCAGUGAAAUGCGUAGAUAUGUGGAGGAAUACCGAUGGCGAAGGCAGCCCCCUGGGAUAAUACUGACGCUCAGACACGAAAGCGUGGGGAGCAAACAG
rnacentral:rRNA from 1 species